rnacentral:tRNA from 1 species
GCGAGUAUGGUGAAAUUGGUAGACACGAUUGAUUUAGGCUCAGUGAUCGAGAGAUCUUGCGGGUUCAAGUCCUGCUACUCGUA